rnacentral:rRNA from 1 species
AUUGAACGCUGGCGGCACGCCUAACACAUGCAAGUCGAGCGGUAACAUGCUUAGUAGCAAUACUAAGUGAUGACGAGCGGCGGACGGGUGAGGAACACGUAGGAACCUGCCCAUGAGAGGGGGGAUAACUAAGGGAAACUUUAGCUAAUACCGCAUAAUCUCUGAGGAGAAAAGUUGCCCGUAAGGGUAGCGCUUUUGGAGGGGCCUGCGUCCGAUUAGCUAGUUGGUGAGGUAAUAGCUCACCAAGGCGAUGAUCGGUAACUGGUCUGAGAGGACGACCAGUCACACUGGGACUGAGACACGGCCCAGACUCCUACGGGAGGCA